rfam:Dipodomys ordii contig_9610, whole genome shotgun sequence.
GUGGAAGUUGGCUCAGUGGUAGAGUGCUUGCCUUGCAUGCAUGAGGCCCUGGGUUCGAUUCUUCAGCACCACA